GAUGAACGCUGGCGGGAUGCUUUACAUGCAAGUCAGGCGGCAGCACGGACUUCAGUCUGGUGGCGAGUGGCGAACGGGUGAGUGUAUCGGAACGUGCCAAUGGCGGGGAUAACUACGCGAAAGCGUAGCCAUGCCGCAUACGCCCUUCGGGGGAAAAAGCGGGGACCUUCGGGCCUCGCACUAUUGAAACGGCCGAUAUCGGAUUAGCUAGUUGAACAGGGUAACGGCUCACCAAAGGCGACGAUCCGCCGGCUGGUUUGAGAGAGGACGACCAGCCACACUGGGACUGAGACACGGCCCAGACUCCUACGGGAGGCAGCAGUGGGGAAUUUUGGACAGCGGAAAGCUGAUCAGCCAUCCCGCGUGUGCGUGAAGGCGCUGGUUGUAAAGCACUUUUGGCGAAAGCAGCACGGGAUAUUACCCGUGCAACUGACAGUACCUGCAGAAUAAGCACCGGCUAACUACGUGCCAGCAGCCGCGAUGGUAUUACGUAGGGUGCAAGCGUUAAUCGGAAUUACUGGGCGUAAAGCGUGCGCAGGCGGUUCGGAAAGAAGAUGUGAAAUCCCAGAGCUUAACUUUGGAACUGCAUUUUUAACUACCGAGCUAGAGUGUAUGUGUCAGAGGGAGGUGGAAUUCCGCGUGUAGCAGUGAGUAAGCUGUUAGAUAUGCGGAGGAACACCGAUGGCGAAGGCAGCAGCCUCCUGGGAUAACACUGACGCUCAUGCGCGUGGGGGAGCAAACAGGAUUAGAUACCCUGGUAGUCCCACGCCCUAAACGAUCAGCUAGCUGUUGGGGCCUUCGGGCCUUGGUAGCGCAACGCGUGAAGUUGACCGCCUGGGGAGUACGGUCGCAAGAUUAAAACUCAAAGGAAUUGACGGGGACCCGCACGACGGUGGAUGAUGUGGAUUAAUUCGAUGCAACGCGAAAAACCUUACCUACCCUUGACAUGUCUGGAAUCCCGAAAGAGAUUUGGGAGUGCUCGCAAGAGAACCGGAACACAGGUGCUGUGCAUGGCUGUCGUCAGCUCGUGUCGUGAGAUGUUGGGUUAAGUCCGCAACAGCGCAACCAUAUCAUUAGUUGCUACGAAGGGCACUCUAAUGAGACUGCCGGUGACAAGCCAGAGGAAGGUGGGGAUGACGUCAAGUCCUCAUGGCCCUUAUGGUGGGAACUUUACGUCAUACAAUGGUCGGGACGGAGGGUCGCCAACCCGCGAGAGCCAAUCCCAGAAACCCGAUCGUAGUCCGGAUCGCAGUCUGCAACUCGACUGCGUGAAGUCCCGGAAUCGCUAGUAAUCGCGGAUCAGCAUGUCGCGGUGAAUACGUUCCCGGUCUUGUACACACCGCCCGUCACACCAUGGAAAUUAGGUUUUACCAGAAGUAGUUAGCCUAACCGUAAGGAGGGCGUUCUACGGCAGGAUUCAUGACUGGAGUGCGAAGUCAGCAACAAGGUGG
rnacentral:rRNA from 1 species